ensembl:lncRNA
GGAAAUGAUAGGCUGCUUUCAAAGCAGCUUCAUCAAAAGCAAACACUGGGCAAACGAAGUGGAAAAUAAAUAACAUGCAUAAUCAGCGAUAAGGAGCCCAGAAGCCAUGUGUCGCAGCAGAGCCAUUGGCAAAAGAGAGCCUCCUGUCACAGAAGAGUGGUAGCGGCCGGCGGAGCACCGCUGUUGUGCAGACCUCAACGGAGAAAAGUUGGAAUAAUUUUGAAGAAAGGACGAAGGAAAAGGCAAUAAGCUAAACCCAGCUUUCAACAGAUUGAAUUUACAUCAGCUGCUUCAGAGACUUGUAUAAUUUGUGUUGUGAGGGAGAAGGAGUUCGUUCCUGUGGCAGGUGCUUCCUACAUCUCUGUUCCUCUUUGCCUAUGGAUACUUAAUGGCAUG